rnacentral:tRNA from 1 species
GGCGUUUUUCAAAAUUCCCCAAUGACCUGUAGUAUUAUCACACGUUGCGCAAUGAUAGUGCGCUGAGCGCCCGUGGCGGAAUUGG